rnacentral:rRNA from 1 species
GUAUAAUGGGUCAGCGACUUAUAUUCAGUGGCAAGGUUAACCAUUUAGGGGAGCCGUAGGGAAACCGAGUCUUAACUGGGCGUUCAGUCUCUGGAUAUAGACCCGAAACCGGGUGAUCUAGCCAUGGGCAGGUUGAAGGUUGAGUAACAUCAACUGGAGGACCGAACCGACUAAUGUUGAAAAAUUAGCGGAUGACUUGUGGCUAGGGGUGAAAGGCCAAUCA